UCGACACCGGUCGCCUUGGAGCUACUAUGUCUAUGCUUCAAGACGUCAUCCGUUCGGUGGAAGUUCCUGCCGCCGCGUCGGGUUCGGGAAGUGCUACCUUAUCAAUUGGCGGAUCUCUUGCUGUAGUGGGCGUGAAAAAAUCUAAAGAGGCAACUGCUCUAGAUAUGUCUUUGCAUUCCUGUUAUUGUAGUGGAAGCAGUCAGAUGACUGAUAAUAAAUGUUUUAGGUGCCUCUUUGGGUGCGACUCCUCAUCUUGCGGAGAGUACUCGAAGACCAGUACUUAGCUUGCCAACUGACUCAGAGUUCCAGAGGGCCAUCAAUGUUUUCUGGAGCUUCCAGGAACGAAGUCAUCAAUUGGAGCAGGAAUGUGCUCGACUUACAGAAGCCUUGAGGGUGCACGAGGUUGGAGCGAAGUCUUUUGCUGUGGAGUGGUCGUAUCACGAAGUCCUGCAGCAAAAACUGGAGAGUCGCUACAAGUCUGUGAACCAAAAGUAUCAAGAGCUCAAGAGGCAAGAGGCUGCUGCGAGGAGCCAAGUCCUCGACUGGAGAAAUGCGCACGAUCGAGUGGCGGAUGAAAGCUGAACGUCUUCGAGCCGUGCUGGCAGAAGCACAGGCUGCUUGCGAGCACCAGCGAGAUAGGAAGAUGCAAAAUGGAGUGAUGCUUGCCAUGGCCAUGGUGGCAUGCAGGGAUCAUGCCCAGACCAUGGGAAGACUCCGAGGCAAACUUCAGGAGUUGACUGUAGCAGCUGAAGAUUUGGUGAACGCCAUAGCCCCUGUGGAAGAGUGCGCAGGACCUCAAUCGUUAGUCAAGUGAUUGAAGACUUCCCCGAGUAAAGUGGCGGGACUCUGCAAAGUUGUUUGCAAAUAGGUCCUUGCUGUUGUGAAGUCAUACUACCUGAGGGCGGACUUGGUGGCGGCUGGUGAUGGCGUGGCUCGCAACUGCACAGAAAAAGCAUAUGCGCAAUACCUCGAGAAGGCGGAGCCUAUCGCGUUGAAGAUGUUGGAGUUUGUCUCUCCAGAAGAUCCUUGAGCGUUUUAUGUACCCUUGAAUCUGUCGAGUACUUUGAACAAUAUUUUGACAAAUGAAGGCUUGCCCAUUGUUUUGCUGCUUGAA